CCUACGGGAGGCAGCAGUGGGGAAUAUUGGGCAAUGGGCGCAAGCCUGACCCAGCAACGCCGCGUGAAGGAAGAAGGCUUUCGGGUUGUAAACUUCUUUUCUCAGGGACGAAGAAAGUGACGGUACCUGAGGAAUAAGCCACGGCUAACUACGUGCCAGCAGCCGCGGUAAUACGUAGGUGGCAAGCGUUAUCCGGAUUUAUUGGGUGUAAAGGGCGUGGAGGCGGGAGCGCAAGUCAGAGGGGAAAACGAAGGGCUCCACCCUGAGCCUGCAUUUGAAACUGUGUUUCUUGAGUGCUGGAGAGGCACUCGGAAUUCCGUUUGUAGCGGUGAAAUUCGUAGAUAUACGGAGGAACACCAGUGGCGCAGGCGGAUUGCUGGACAGUAACUGACGCUGAGGCGCGACAGCGUGGGGAGCACACAGGAUUAGAUACCCGUGUAGUC
rnacentral:rRNA from 1 species